CAUCUCUCCACGUAGCCCGGCCCCGCCGCGUCCUCGUAGCGAGAUGCGUCGCCGGCGGCGGUAGUUCCGAGUCGCGAUCCGACGGCGGAUUUGGCAUCAUUCCAGAGAGGCGCUGCACACGGAAGAUCGAGGAAGUAUCUCCAGCGGCUACGCCAUCGAAAAUAGGCAGACAAGUUCAGGAGAAACUUACUCGUGGAGGAAUAUGUUUAUGUUGAGAGAAACCAGAUCUUGGGUUGCUUAAGCUUUGUCUUCAAAUCCCAAAAGCUGGUUGACUUUAUAUUCUUAGACAAUGCUACUGGACCGUGCAACGUGGCCACAACAGGGAUCUUCUGUGAAGUGCUUCCGUGAACACUCCUAUGGUGCAAGGUAUAUUGUUGUGUGUUACUACAAGGUCGAGCUGCUGCUAUUGCUGGUUCAUCUCUACUCCACAGGGCAAGUUACCUCCGACUCUUUUCACAAUUUCUUGUGAUUUCUCAUUGUCGAGACAAUGAGCCAAGUUUCUCUAGAACCUUUUAGUCCUUGUGUUGUGUAAAACUAAAGACCUAGCUUUUUUUACUUAUCUUUACUAGUCAUGCUCACUGUUUAUAA